UUGUAAUGAUUUUGGUACUUUGUCCUCUGUUUAUCCACAGAACACGUACAGCCGAACAGCAGCAGUGUAAACUUCUCCAUGCUGUCUGCCAAUAUACCUUGGUCUUUUUCUAGAUGCCCCAAUUAUAGGAACAGAGGAACAGUUCAGUAUCCAUGCCCAUUCAAAUCUUGAAUGUU
rnacentral:sRNA from 1 species